CUACAUAAACGACACCUAACUUUCCACGUGCCUCAGCUCUUUGCAUCAAAACAAAAAGCUUUCCACGUGCCCUCUCUCCUCCAUCUUCAUCAUCCCCAUCUUCAGUACUAGGAAACGCAAAUAGCCAAAUACCAUAGAAAUCUUAAAUAAUAUACAUGAGAUACAUUUAAAAUACAAAAGAGAUACAUUAGAAAGGCAUAGGAGACACAUGGCGGUGGCGGUGGACUGAAAUAAAACUUGGCGGCGGUGGUGGUGCACUCGUGGUGGUUGGGGACAGAUGAGAAGCAUAUGCAUUCAAUAGAAUGAGAAGUACAUCAACUAAGUAACAUAGUUACAUCGACGAAGUAUUCGAGGUACAUCAAUUGAGUGUACGAGGUACAACGAGCUACCAAUCCAGGUACAUCAAGUAACCAAGUCUAGAUAUGGAAAUUCACUUUAGGAAGAAGCGAUUGAUACUCUAAGAUUAACCGAUCCUUGUUGCCCAUAAAAAAAAUGGGAUCGAUUUGCAUUUAAUGGAUGAUAAAUUGGAUAAAGAAAGAAGAUCGGUUAUUGUCCAAAAGUCCUUGAUUGGGUAAGCUAAGAGGGGAGAUAAAGUUGGAGAGGAGGGGGAAUUUAAGUUGGGUGUUCAAUUUCUUUUCAAACCAGUAGGGCGCCAUUAACAACCUCGAUAGAGCUUUAAGUACAUUUUCCUAUGUUUUCUGGAAUAUAUUGGAGAAGAGAGAGGAAAAGAAAAAGGGGACAAACUAAUUCUUAAUUUGUGAAAACUGAAAAGGAAUCAAAUACUUUCUUUUUACCAAAGUUGUCACGUGGCUAAUUGUGAAAACAAAGCUGCCAAUAAUGACGCACGAUUAUUUUUCUCCGUUAGAUUAAGUAGAUCGAGUGGCUAUAAAUAUUUCUCACGCUUCUCACAUAAUACUCACGCUUCUCACAUAAUAUGCAUUUCUCACGUGAGUCUUCCUAUAUAUAUAUAUAUAGAUAUAGAGAGAGAUUUACACUCAAAUGAGAAGGGACCUUAAAAUGAGAAGAAUGAGAAACAAUCUCGUGCAUUUGUUGUGAUCAGAUCUAACGGACGUAAGCAUCUCUCUAGCGCGUUUAGUAAUGGCAAAGUCGUAAAUAUUGCAAAAAUUUUUAUUAUCCCGACUUCCAGAAACUUUCCCUUUUCUCUCUCCUCGUGCUUCACUCUCCUCAGGAACGCCUUAUUUACUCUCCUCCAUUUUCGUUCUCCUUCGUGAUUCUCUCUCCUCACCGCUACCGUUCCUCACCUGCUGCAACCGCUGCACCGCCACCAUCUCCACACUUCCAUCAUCUAUGCGUCGUCUCUUUUGCUUCAAUUUGGAGGAAUUGAAGAAAUUGUGAAAAGGUUUUCGCAAAAUCCACCACUCCACCACCACCCCGCCGACCUCCACCACUUCGACUACUACCACUCCGCCGACCGCCACCAUAUAUGCGCCUUCUUCUCUGGAUAUUUUCUGUGACUGCAAUAUGCUUCUGGAUGAGCUUUUUUCUCCAAGUGUGAUGCGGCGACUCAAAGUGUCACUAUUCGUGAAUAUGAGAAACCCUGUAAAGCUCUACUUCAAAUGAUAAGAUUUGUGCUCAAAAGUGCAGCCAUCUUGGACAAAUUAGUUAUUGUCUGCAACAAGAAGGAUGAAAUUUAUUCAGCAGAGGAAAACGAGUUCAUUUCACAGUUAGCAGGCUUUCCAAGAACCUCGCGGAAGGCAAAGGUUGUAUUUAGUAACUCAUAGCAAGGUGCGUAGGUGCAUUGUGGGUGUUUAUAAUUACUCCGUAGAUGAUAUCUUUUGUUUAGGAGAGGACUCCUGUUGCAAAAUUCAGUGUUGUUGCUACUGGUAGUGGCCUAGUGUUAAAAUCAAAGAUUGCUAGGAAAAUGGUUCAGUACGUUGUAGUGAUUUUGGUUCUUCAAUUUGUAGUCAGAUGUGGCAUCAGGUGCUGAUCUUUGAUAUUAUAGCAACUUGUUUGGUAAGUAGUAAACGUAAUGAGUUUUAUGUAAUUUUUCAGAACUAGUUUCAUUAUUUCUCCCAGUUAUGUAUUUCCCUUUCUGCAUAGAUUUUCUGUAAUCAAGGCAGCAUUAGAUUUUA